rnacentral:rRNA from 1 species
GUGCCAGCAGCCGCGGUAAUACAGAGGUGGCAAGCGUUGUUCGGAUUUAUUGGGCGUAAAGGGUUCGUAGGCGGACCGGAAAGUCAGAUGUGAAAUCCCACAGCUCAACUGUGGAACUGCAUUUGAAACUUCCGGACUAGAGUGUGAGAGGGGUAAAGGGAAUUCCCGGUGUAAGGGUGAAAUCUGCAGAGAUCGGGAGGAACACCAGUCGCGAAGGCGCUUUACUGGCUCACUACUGACGCUCAGGAACGAAAGCUAGGGUAGCAAACGGGAUUAGAUACCCCGGUAGUCC